rnacentral:rRNA from 1 species
ACGGGAGGCAGCAGUGGGGAAUAUUGGGCAAUGGGCGAAAGCCUGACCCAGCAACGCCGCGUGAAGGAAGAAGGUUUUCGGAUUGUAAACUUCUUUUAUCAGGGACGAAGAAAGUGACGGUACCUGAUGAAUAAGCCACGGCUAACUACGUGCCAGCAGCCGCGGUAAUACGUAGGUGGCAAGCGUUAUCCGGAUUUACUGGGUGUAAAGGGCGCGUAGGCGGGGAUGCAAGUCAGGUGUGAAAUCCCGGGGCUUAACCCCGGAACUGCAUUUGAAACUGUAGCCCUUGAGUAUCGGAGAGGCAAGCGGAAUUCCUAGUGUAGCGGUGAAAUGCGUAGAUAUUAGGAGGAACACCAGUGGCGAAGGCGGCUUGCUGGACGACAACUGACGCUGAGGCGCGAAAGCGUGGGGAGCAAACAGGAUUAGAUACCCUGGUA